UUGACCCGCAGUCCUAUUUCUAAGUGGGUAACGUUUCACUUUUUGUAACGAAAAAAAAUACCCAAACACACACGGGCUCGGGCUCGCGCUCACCUCCUCUCCCUCUCGCCCAGAAGUCCUCGCCGCCGCCGCCGCCACCACCCACGCCGACCGCUUCCGGCGAGCUCCGGCACCGCGCAACAUGUACCCGAGCUCCCCACAGUCCGCGCCUCCCUCCCCCGCGGCCAGAUUCUCCGCUCCCGGCAUCUAUCGCCCGCUCGCAGCCCCGCCCCCAUGGCUAGGGUUUCGAGCAGGGCUUCGCCGGUGCAUCUCCCGCUCGCCGUCUUCUCCCACCACGCCGGCCUCCCUUCGCUAGGCACCCUCGCACCUUUCGGCACCCUCGCACUGGGCAUUCCUUUCUCUCCCCCUCACGGCUCCUCCCGUCGCCGAACUGGAGCACCAGCCGAUUUGGGGCAGCAAUGCCACGAGCUAACACCCCUGCAUGGGCUUGCUCAAUCUGGGGCAGACGCGCCAGUUCUGGCGUGGAGAGAGGAGGAAGGUGAGACGGGAGGCCAAGGCAACGGCGAGAUCCACGUCGAGCUGCCAUGGCCAUGACCUGAUCCACGACGAGGUUAAAUGGGGGCGGCUGCUUCCUAAAGGACGACGAAGCUCUCCAAGGGUGGGCCUUCUGUUCUCCCCGAGAAUGAUGUACCCGUGGCAUGAUUGCUCUUCAUGUGUACGUGCUUGCUGUAUUUACCUGCAUCUGAUGGUUCUUCCAAUGUGCGUGUUUGAGAAAUACACCUGCAGAUUGACCCGGCGAAAUACAAGAGCAUCUCAUCUGGAUUUAGCGUUCUGCUAAAGGAGCAAGGAGCUAGGGGAUUUUUCAGGGGAUGGGUGCCUACCAUGCUUGGUUCCAGUGCUCAGGGGGCUUGCAAGUUUGGGUUCUACAAGUUCUUUAAGAAGACCUACUCAGAUAUGGUUGGGCCUGAGAAUGCCGUGAAGUACAUGACCCUAUAAUUUACCUUGUAGGGUCAGCUUCUGCUGACGUAAUUUUUGAUAUCGCUCUAUGCCCCUUUGAAACUGUCAUGGUCCGUGUGCAGACACAACCUGGAUUUGCUUGUGGGUUGAGUGAUGGGCUUCCCAAGUUCAUCAAAUCUGAGGGUGCUGCUGGGCUUUACAAGGGAAUUGCUCCUCUCUAGGGUCGGCAGAUUCCUUACAAGUGCUUUCUCUCAUCAUUCUGUUAUAGUCUUCUAAUUUGAAUUGUCACUACUAUGGUUGUUUCACAAAUGUGGCCUGCUUUGGAACCAAAUGCUCUAAAGCUGGUCCCCUGUUUCAUCUAAUCGGCCUGUUUGUUUUUCUUUGAUACCAAUUGGCGAUGUUUAGUUACCUUUUCUUCUCCUAUAUGAGCAAACUACUAUCCUAUUGAUGGCCAACCAUGCUGAUACUAUUCUAUAUUAGUUUUACCAUUUCUAUUUGUUGCCUAGCUUACGGACAUUAUUCAUCGACUCCUUAGAGUCAUUCACUCCACAGUUUCGAUGGAAGUUUUUAGCUGAAACUCCAAAAUUCACUUUUCUUGCCAAAAGUAAAUAUGUUAGCCAGACAUGAGAUUACUGUAUGUAUGUCCAUCCACACUUGCGCUGCAACAGAAGAGAACAACUUAGCAUAUAUGACCCACACAAUAAUAAAGAAUAAAGAAAAGGAUUAGAUAUUUUUAUAUAGUAUAAAUAAUAAAGAAGCGUGACCCCAGACUGUUAAAUAUGUGAUAUAUAUCCAAAGGAGAGUGAAGAUAGCUUUUUUGUUGUGCUGCCAACUGGGUUAACAAAUUCAGAUUAUGUUAUUGUUCUGUACAACAAUACCUUGCUAAACGAUGGACGUCCUCAGCGAAGAAAGCCAUGUCCAUGACCCUCUAAAGAAGAAAGAACACAAGCCAUAAGAAACAAAUGCACUUUCAUAUACUUAGUAGAAGUCGACUCCAAGUGAAAAUGAGGAGUGCAUAGCCGGUUACCAUCUAAAGAUAUUGGCAUCAGAAAUCCUCAAACACCUCCUUGAACAGUUAAAUUGCAGGACAAGUUUACAUAGACUAUUUUGUAAAUUGCAAUUACUGAAUAUGAGCAACGAGCAAACAACCAGACAGUAACGGCCUAAUGGGCAGUGAUUAUUCAUGAGUGUCAUCCCAUAGAAUGUUCAAAUUCACUAAAAUAAGCCAAUUCAGCCCUUAACAGUCUAGCAGAACAUCUCUCACAGAUUUUGCCACUGAUUCGUGAGUGGGGAGGAUAUAGAUGCCAGGCGGGAUAUGGUGAGAUACAAUGCCGAUGUCUAACGACAGCAGUGGGUCGAGCGACACGGGCUUCUGUCCAGCGACGCCAAGAAAGAAGCGGUUGAAUGUUGUUUCAUUCCCCACGCGGCUGAAUCCAACUCGGUCUUUAUCCUGCCUUGGAGUUCUCUCUCAUAACUGAAGCCAGGAGGCAUUCGAUUUAUCGGAUUUCGAGCUAGCUGCCCUUUUCUUGCUCCUUGCCAUUAGCGCAGCCCUUUUCCAAUUGAUUUCACUAGAUCCCCUGUUUGUACAGUAUGGAUGAAAAACCUUGCAAUUAUUUCACUAGAUCGAUUGAUGAUAGCUUGCUGUUGCUGAUGAAACCGAAGAAAAUGUAUCUAUCCCGGGCCAGUUGCCAACCAAACCAACAUUAUCUCAGUUACCGGUUCAAAGAUGUCUCAAACCACGCACAAACAUUUCAGUUGAUACAUACACCAUAAGUUUGGUUGUCCGCUCUUUUAGAUGCCCAGAAGCAUGAUUCUCAAGAUCAUUGCUCACUGAACAUAAGACCAAAUGUUCCAAUUUAUUUUAUUGCUUAAAGAAGAAUUGGUGUUCUGUUGUGUUAUCCUAUGACACUAUAUGGCAUCAGGUUGUUUGCUUCUAUCAAUUGGCACUAUUAUUAAUGUUUCUGUUAGAUUAUUGUCUACCUUAAUGAUCUGUUCAACCAACAGGUAUGGAAGUUGUUGGUGUGGUGACCGCCGUAGGGCCCGGGCUGACUGGCAGGAACAUUGGGGAUGUUGUCGCCUACGCAGGCAAGCCGACGGGCUCUUAUGCCAAAGAGCAGGUUAUUUCAGCCAAUGUUGGUUCCCAUCACACCUUUGAUUGAUCACACAGCGGCUGCUAUCGUGCUGAAGGGGAUGACUGUCCAUAUGCUGGUUCACCACAUAUUUAAGGUACAUUUUGUCUUGCUCCUGCUGUGUGACAUACUGACCUGCUGCACAUCCGCGUGAAGCACACCCACCCGCUGCCGGAGGCGUCCCGCGCCCACGCUGACUUCAAAGCCCGGAAGACGCCGGGCUCCAUACUGCUGACCCUAUAGAACUAAGCACCGUCAUCUUUUUUGGGUAGGAGAAGAAGGCAUAAACAGGGGACUCGGCGAAGAAUCUACAAUGCUUGUCAAUAUGUUUGCAUCUGAACACUGAAUCCUUUUUCUCUCUGUUUCUCCUGGUUAUGUUGGAUUCAGUAUGAGUGAGUGUGUUUGUUGGUUAUGAGUUGGAUCGUGGUCUUGCUGUGCACAUCAUUGUUUGAAGCAUGACGAGUUGUAAAGACCAACAUUUUUCAAAAUAGUGACCUAGCAGGACAAGUA